rnacentral:rRNA from 1 species
UACGGAGGGGGCGAGCGUUAUUCGGAAUCACUGGGCGUAAAGGGUGCGUAGGCGGGUCUUUAAGUCAGGGGUGAAAUCCUGGAGCUCAACUCCAGAACUGCCUUUGAUACUGAAGAUCUUGAGUUCGGGAGAGGUGAGUGGAACUGCGAGUGUAGAGGUGAAAUUCGUAGAUAUUCGCAAGAACACCAGUGGCGAAGGCGGCUCACUGGCCCGAUACUGACGCUGAGGCACGAAAGCGUGGGGAGCAAACAGG